GCUUCCUUGGUGUAGUCGGUUAUCACGUCGGUCUCAUAUCUCGUCGAGUAUGACUGUUCCAAGAACAGAAAUCCGAAGGCCGCCAGUUCGAAUCUGGCAGGGAGCA
rnacentral:tRNA from 3 species